AAUUUUCAACCCAGGGCUGAGUUCAACCCCGGGGUCUGAAAUUUCAACCCUGCUAGCUGAAAUUUCAACCCCGGGGUUGAACUCAGCCCUGGGUUGAAAA